CUGCCUCUGGAGUGAUUGAUCUUUGACUCUGACAUUGGAUUGGCUACUUGGUCCACGACUGAGAGUUACAGAGCCCCCUCCUCCCGGAGCUUUCCACGGGUUUCUUGGGACAAUAGAGCCCACCUGGCUUUCCCCAGCUAGCGGGCAAGUGGAGAAACCCAGACAAAGAACUUUACAUUUGAAACCCCUCUGCUUCCUAGAUGAAGACGUGGAGGCUGGGAAACUCCUGCCUUUGAAACCAAGCCUCUUGGACCCAGGAAGAGUCUGGUUCCCGGAUGGAGGCAUGGAGCCAUGGAGAAGUCCCUAUGACAAAGAUGAAGACCUUUAUGAUGAUUCGUUACCACUUAAUGAACGCCAUCCACAUAAGAUGUGACUUGGUCCUCUUUGCCUUCCGUCAUGAUUGUGAGGCCUCCCUAGCCAUGUGGAACUAUUAGUUCUGCCUUGAAGACAGUUCACAACCUCAGACUACCCUUUGGUCUUGUGAGCCACAGUCAUUACAGAAAAAUGAUCAACAUCAUGAUGUGUCCAUGGUUAUUUCAUUGAGUCUGGCCAAUACUUAACAUUUCAAGGGUAGAAUCUGCAUGAGAGCAAAAUGGAAGUCCCGAUUCUGAUUGCAAACCAGAAUUGCUGUAGACAGGCUUACAUCAUUCCAGAUUAAAUGCUGCCUGGAGACCCACAUCUACUCUGUUAUCUCUUUGAGCUAUGAAAACGUAACCUUUUCCCACUCAGCCAUGGCGUGCGGGAGCCACUAUCAGCACCUACAGAAAUCAACACUUGUGCCAAGGAAAAGAAUGUCUGCACCCUAAAAUUAACCUACGCUAAGAUCAAAGUAGAAACAAUAAGAUCAGCAUCAAUCUUGCCUUUUUCUUUAUAACACUCAAAUAGGCCUCUUUUCUUUUGCAGAAAAUUGGCUUUUUUUUUUCUUAAUGCAAGUCCUAUGCAUUAAAAUAAAGAGCAACAUAGAAAAUAGUAAUUUAUCUGACAAUGGGAAAUGGUUGAUUUUUAUAAUGCUUCAAAGGAUCACCAUUCAGAAACAAAGGAGUCAGUCAGUUACAGAAUGUGAGUCUAGAUGCAAUUAAACAAAAUAAGAGCUCCCAUAAGAUUCUCAGCCCCAAACACUAAGAAAAUCUUUUCAUCAUAGUCUCUCAGAUUCCUUCCAUAAGGUGUAUUUGAAAAAUAUUAACAGAAAACUUCUUACCUUCAGCAACACAUUUUGUAAUUCAGUUGCACUUAAAUCUAUAAUGUUAUAAAGGGCAUUGUUUGGUUUAAAAAAAUGUUAAAACAAGUUAAAUAUCCCUUUGACACUGAGCUUAAUACAAAAAACUGUAUGAAAACAGGCUCCAUGUAAAUGUUUUCUUUUUUUCCUUUUUGUCCUCUGUCAUAAGGGAGAUGAGAAGGCAAAAUGGAUCGAGUGGAGGUAGACAGGCCACAGGCAUGGAGAAGUGGAGCUGUGUAGGAGUAAAAGGAAGGAAAAUAGGAAAAGGAAGUAGAGCAAGUGCACUGAGAUAAAAACCGGGGGAGGAUGUACAGUAAUACAUGGGAAGUGGAGUAAGGAAGAAAGAAAAUCCUAUUGAUCUCUUCAUUUCUUUUUCCUAAUGGUUUAGGAGAUCAUUUUAGGACUUAUGAGAGCUGGAGUUGGUUAAAUUUUCAAGCAAUGGAAUUGUGAGUUUUAAAAUUGCAAACGUUGGCAGUUAAAAAGAAGAACCAGUUUUAAAGAAGGGCAGAAGGCCAGUUUUUUUUUUUAAGUACAUCAUCUGGUUAUGAGGAUAUGAUAGUUAAAAGGGAAAGCCAGCAUUUCCAAAGAAGGGUGCAGAAAGAUACAUGGUAUAGAAAGUCUGCCACCUACAAGGAAAAUCUGGAGAAUAAAUAAUUUCUGGGUAUGUUAAUUAAGUCUGGUCUUGUUCUAAGGUUUUCCAGCUAAUUUGCCAGGCUGCUGAAAUGGUAAUAUGAAUAAGAUGUAAUUAUUGGUUUUCCCACUGAGAAUUACAGGCUUAUUGAGAUGAAAGGAAGGCAUCAUAAUGAUCACAAAGCUUAAAAUCCUUUAAGUCACAAACCUAAGUGCUUACUGAGGUCAGAGACAUGAAUGCUUAAGGGGACCCAGUGGGUACUGUGGCAAUCAAGAGAGUUUCUGCCCCAUGUAAAAGGACAGCACCACUGAGUUUUCGUUGCUUUGCCAUGUGGGCACCCAUGCUCUGAAUAGGCAGAUAUAAUUUCGCAUGAGGGGCUGGUUUAAUGUUCAAGAUUAUUUGACUUGAAGCAAGAAGA